UUUCCGUAGGUGAACCUGCGGAAGGAUCAUUAACGAAUAACUAUGGUGUCUCGGUUGUAGCUGGCUCCUCGGAGCAAUGUGCACGCCCGCCAUUUUUAUCUUUCCACCUGUGCACCGACUGUAGGUCUGGAUGACUCUCGCACUCCGGUGCGGAUGCGAGGAUUGCUCUCGGGCUCUCCUCGAAUUUCCAGGCUCUACGUCUUUUUACACACCCCAAACGUAUGAUACAGAAUGUAGUCAAUGGGCUUGAUCGCCUAUGAAACACUAUACAACUUUCAGCAACGGAUCUCUUGGCUCUC
rnacentral:misc_RNA from 1 species